rnacentral:rRNA from 11 species
GUGCAGGGCCUGGAUAGCCUAAUUGCAUGAGAUCCAAUCUGAUCUUGAAAGUUAAGCAGGUUCAGCCCUGUUUAGUACUUGAAUGAGAGACUGCCAACAAAUACCAGGUGCUAUAGGCA